rnacentral:rRNA from 1 species
CAGUCGCCACGGUAAUACGAAGGGGGCUAGCGUUGUUCGGAUUUACUGGGCGUAAAGCGCACGUAGGCGGAUCGAUCAGUCAGGGGUGAAAUCCCAGAGCUCAACUCUGGAACUGCCUUUAAUACUGUCGAUCUGGAGUAUGGAAGAGGUGAGUGGAAUUCCGAGUGUAGAGGUGAAAUUCGUAGAUAUUCGGAAGAACAUCAGUGGCGAAGGCGGCUCACUGGACGACUGUUGACGCUGAGGUGCGAAAGCGUGGGGAGCAAACAGGAUUAGAUACCCCUGUAGUCCCUGUCUCUUAUAC